rnacentral:lncRNA from 1 species
AGGGCCUUGAUGUCUCUUAGCUGAAUAAGAUCGGUUGUGUUUGUAGGGUUAUAUAUAUAUAUAUAUAAUGGUUGAUGUUUCAUGGUUGGUCUCCACGGUUGUCUACUUAUAGCUCUGGUAAAAAUAAUGAAGAAUAAGCCUCCAUUUCAUUUUAGUUCAGUGAGCAUGUCUGGCUCAGUGUGUUCGCUAGAUUUCCAGGAUGGUAUUACUUUAGCACCUCUUUUUAGGCUGGAUUCUGUAGUACUUUUACUCCAAGCUCUUUGGAUGGUGUUUAACGAAAUGCUUGGCAUGUAGUAUGAAUAUAAAAGCUCCUGGUACUUUUGUGAUAUUGUUGCUCGCCGGAUUUUGUUGCUUCCUUUUAACAGUUAAGAAUCCCAGGCAUCCGUGUUCUUCCACAGAAGAUAGUUUUGGCGAUGAUAUAACAGGCCUUUCUUAAGGGGCGCACUAGAAUUAGGUGAUAAGAAUUAAUGAUGCUGACAACAUAUCUGGUUAAUGAAUUUUGCAUUUUCUAUCUCGAGGAUGUUAGGUUAUACAAUGGAGUGUGCUUCUUCUCCGUUACAUAAACUACAGAUAACGACACUCGAAUUAACCUUACUGCUACUUACAAUAAUGGCAAUGAACAACAUUAAGAUACCCCGAGGCUUGUAGCCCAGCGGUGGCAAGGGAUUCCUUGCCUCUGGGUUCAAGCCUCCGCGUGUACGCCUGUCAUCCUCGCGGUGGUUUACAUGCUAUUGGGUUAGCAGGAUGUUCAGUGGACUGUGGGAUUAAUCAUGGUGCGUGUAAGCUGGCCCGAACACCAAUAUAAAUAAAAAAAAAUAAACAACAUUAAGAUUAUAGAAACAUAACCUGAUGGACAUUGGACUGAUGCCGACAAAACUCAUCAAGUUAGUUGAAUUGUGUACCCGCGCUCUAACACCAUUGAAGAUCUUAGCUGCCCAAAUAUGUUGGUUUUUUUUUUGUUUUUGGUUAAAUUAGUAUAAUAAACAUAAAAAAUUGAUGGAAUAACAUUACUGGAAAAAAAUUAGGUAAAAUAAUACGUUUUAUUUUGUUGUUUUUUUAAAAACAUGAUAUUUACUAAAUAUCACUAUUUCUAAACAUGAUAUUUAAUAAAUAUCACGUUUCUAAUUAUAAUGUUAUUCCACUAAAUUUUUACGCGCUAAUUACUUAAUUUAUUCUAAAUAUAUACAUAAGCUCAAAUUCAGGACCAAACAAAAUUUAAGGGCAAAGUCGUGCAACAGACGUAAAUGUAGUGGGGGUAUUGACAAUGAUCUACGUUUCUUUAUCUCCAUUUCUUAUUUUAGAAGCUAUACAUAGGACCUCUAUGAUUUCAUAUCUUGUAUGUGUGUUUGCUUUAGGACUUGUAGAUUUUUGCUAGUUUGACUGCAUUUUAUUCUUGUGCAUAAUUGUCAAUUCUUUAUGUCUUCCUUUUUAUUUUUAACCUAGAUCAUUCUAGGCCGAGUCAGUCAAGCUUUUAUUUAUAUUUUUUAAAAAAUUUAUGUUAUGUGAAAAUUAAAAGAGAAAGUUGUGGGCAGUAGAAAUGAAAUUAUACGUGUCAAUAAUGGUGUUGAGCAUACGUACUUUGAAGGUUGAAUCAUGAUAAGUUCAACUCUAUAACAUUUAAAGUUUUUUUUUUUCCUAUGUUUAAUUUAACUUUUUAGUUUUGUUUUGGCAAAUAAGUUGUGGCAUUUUUAUUUUAAAUAUCAGCAUAAAUGGAUUUAUUUGCACUUUAGAGGGAGUUCAAGAAUGAAAGAAGUCGUUGUCGAUGACAACAACGAUGGUUAUUGAUUGCUUUAAGACCUCAACACGUACAAGAUACAGGGUACAAAGACGUGAUUGGCGUGUAUUAAGAUUUUCUAAAAUCAAGAUAUUUUGUGUUAGUAUAAUGUUUUGUUAGAUGUUUUGUGCUAUUAUAAAGGCAUGGUAGGCGCAUAUUAAGAUUUUCUAAAAUCAUGGUGAGCACAAUAAUUAAAACAAAAUAAAUUUUUUAAAUGUUUAUAUUAGAUUCCAAUAAACAUAAAAAGUUAAAGAUGUUCAAAACUCUAACUAAGUCAUCAUCAAUUAUCUUUUAUUGUGUAGAACUCAUUCAUAAUCAUAUAUGUUGUGAAGUUCAUAGAAAUAUUUUUUUUUUCUAUAUAGACAACUAAAUUGUUGGCAAGAAAAUCAUUAUCAAUUUUGUUACAAAACCUUAUUUUCAUCAACUCCAUUGUAGAAAAAGCUUCCUCUAUACUUUUGAUAUUCUAGAAGUUGUCAUUGCUCUACACAACUUAGAAAGAGCAGUCAAUUUCUAAAACUUUGGAUGUUUUGGUAUAUCAAGCUUAUAAUAUUACAAUUGAAAUCUCAAAUGAAGUUUCUCUUACUCACUAAAAUCUUUGGCUUAAAAGUUUUUAGCCAAAUUAUAUACAUCAUCAAUAUUGAAUGAGUUAUAAGAAUCACAAGGACAUAAUACUGAACUUAAAAUAAAAAGCUCAACUGUUUGAUCAUAAAAUCUACCAUUUAACUCUUAUAAUUAAAAGUCGAUUGCAGCUACAAAUAUAUCAACUUUGAAAUAAUGUUCAAAAGUUAUGAGAACUUCACUUUGAUUACGAUACUUGCCACGCACUCUUGUAUAUUGUGCUUUCAAAUCAAGAAUAUCAAUAUCAUUUUAUGCACAAAACUCUUUGACAUUUUAAAGAAAAGGUUCUAAUCCAUCAUCGUGUAACUUUUAAAUCAAUGACUUUGUAAAUGAAAUUAAACUUAUGGCAUUAACAAUGUCUUGAUCAUGUUGUUGCAAAGCUUGGCAUAAAACAUUGGUAAUUCCCAUAAUUUGUUUCAUCAAAUGCAAUAUGAAAACAAAUUCAAAAGAUGUUAAUGCCAAAUAAACUCCUUUCGUAUCACCUCGUCAAGAAUAAUUUGCUGCAUCUUUAGAGAUAAUAUUGAUAACUUUAUAAGUUGCACUAAACAUCCUUAAAAAGCUACAAAUUGAUUGAAAAUAAAAACUCCAUCGAGUAUCACCAAGUCGUUGUAAGGGGUAGUCUUGGAUUGCUCAAUUUCGUGUCUUUAUUUCAUCUUUGGCAGUUUUAUUGCUUGAGAAAUUUGUAAAUCAUUAUUUAUUUUACAUGAACUAACAACAAUAUUAAUAAUAGAAGUCAAACUUGAAAAAAAAUUGACAAACAAGUUUUACUUCUCUAGAGGAAACAAAAAGAGUUAAUUAUGACCUAAGAGCUAGACAAUGUACAUAAUAAGCAAAAUGACAAUCUUUAAGAAACAAAGCUUGAAGUCUAUUCCACUUACCUUACAUAUUGCUUACACCAUCAUAUUUUUAAACUCGAAUAUGUUCUACAAGAAGAUCAUAACGAGAUAGAACAUUGCAUACCUCUUGUUUUAGAGUUAAUGUUAUAUUGUCUUUCACAUGCACAACCUAGAAAAAAAAUGCUCCCGAAUGAAACCAUCUUUGUUAAAAAAUCAUAAUAUAAUUGCCAUUUGUUCCCUUUUUUACUUCAUCUCUUGUUUCAUUAAUAAUGAUACAAACUUUGAAUCCUCAAUCUUAUCAUGAAUCACCCUUUAUACAUUGCUAGGAAAGAUACUUAAGAUAUCCUUUUGAAUUCCAUGAGAAGUAUAUUUAACAUUUUGACGAGGAUUAUUUUUUAGAACAAGCCCACCAAGCUUAUUAUUAUGACUUCCUAUGAGCUUCAUAGUUCAAUAAAAUUUCCUUGAUUUUUUAAACCAUGUAUUUCAUCAUGGCCUCUAAAGGCUCAUAUUUGGAAAGUUAGCCAUCAAAAGUUAUCAAUUGUAGCUCUAAGUCAUAGACAAUUAUUCUCAACUUCUUGUGAUGAUCUUUUAUCUACCAAGUUGUAAAUAUCUUAUUCACUCCUUAAAUCUUUACAACAUUUCAUUGUAAUUCUAUGUGAUGAGUUCUUCUUCCUAACAUGACUCAAUAAAAGGACAAUAAAUCCCAUCAUUUACCUUUCUCCAAUUAACAAAGACUACGGAUACAAAAGCAUCUGAUCCUGGCUUACUUGUUGUCUUACCAAAAAGGCAGAAGGUAGAUAAAAUAUAGCUUUCACUACAUUUAAGUACUCUAGUCAACUUGAAAAUGCUUUAAACCAAGAAGCUUGAAAUCAACGAUGAUGGUUCUUAUUUUUUGAAAAAGGAUACCCUGAAUGCAUAGGUUGGAAUUGACUGACUUUGAGAUAAACACAACAAAUUUGUAUUUAUUUGGUUAACAUGAAUAUCCCAUAUCAUUAAUUAGACGUAAUCAGAUCACAUUUCAAAGAAGUAACAUUCAUUUUUUCAGGAUGAAUUUUUUGUUUUUAGAUGGACAUUCAUUGAGUUCCUUAAAUUCAAGAGAUAUUUCAUCAAGAUUUCGAGAAGGAGUUACCAUGUUUGAAGUAGUAGCUAUAACAAAUAUAUUGUUAUUUGGGAGAUUGACAUAUGAUUUCUUAAAAAAAAAAAAAAAAGAGUAUAGAGCUCUUUAUUGCUGUAUCUCUACUUUUAAAACUUAGAGAUAAAGUAAACCUAAAAAAUAUCAUCACUAUUAGUUCAAGAAUUAAUCUUGUAGAUAAGUAUAAUCAUAAUAAAAAAAAUAAAACAAUUUGCUUCUUUCAAAAGUAAACCCAAAACAAAUGCCUAAUAAAAAUAGUGAAUUGUAUGAUUUCAAAUUUACAUGCUCAAGUUUGAUGGACAAUUACUCCAUGAUGUUUGCUUAACUCAAAAGCUAAACAUAUCACCACAUUUUAACAAGUAUAGGAAAAGAAACAAAAAAAAAAAAUCAAAUUACUAUAUACAAUAAAAUGUAGAUGUUUACAUGUCCAACUAGUUCCUAAGCUAUAAAUCCUCCAAAUUAAUAAAAACAAAAGAAAAGGUAAAGGUGGGACUGAAAAACAAAUUACCAUAUCUACAAGAUUUGUUUUCCCAUCAUAUUUAAAAACUACUUUUACGAAAAUCAAAAUCAAACCAAAUAUCAAGAUAUUAAAUCUUUGAGAAAAUUAGAAAAUAAACAAAACAUAGAAAGGAAACCCACUUAUAGAGUUAUAGUCGUUAAGCCUAAGUUGCAAAAAAAAAUCCAGAAAAUGAGAGAUAUAAUAAUGGAGACUGUAGAAAAUUAAGAGAACAAAAGAAAUUAAAAAGUCUUUUCAUCAUUUUCUUUUGUAGUUUUAAAUUACUUCAAUGUUAGUGUGCUGCUUCUGCACUAAUAUUGUUAGUGUUAAUGGUAAGUAGAGAUGCAACUUACAGAUUAUAAAAUAUUACGGGGUCUUAAAAAUAAUUUAAUCCUUUUUUCUUUGAGGGUUUUAUUGCACUUACAACACAACACAUACAGUAGGCUCUAAAAACAUAACAGAACUAAUGCAUCCCUUAUUGACCAAAACCAAUGUAUAAAUACACCACGAGUAUAAUAGAGAAUUAAUAAGAUCCUACAAACUAGGAGGUUGUUACAAACUGAAUCCUACAUUUGAAUAUACAAUCUGAUAUGGAUAAAUUAAAAUCUGAUUCUCUCUAAUAUGCCCCCUCAAGAUGGAUCUCGGGAGAGAAGUCCAAUCUUGUACUUGAGUUGAAGAAAACAUUGGCGUGGAAAAGGCUUUGUAAGUGCAUUAGCGAGUUGAUCUUCAGAAGAAACAUAAGCCACACUAAGAGCACAAUUCUGAACUUGAUCCCGAAUAAAGUGAAAAUUUAUUGCAACAUGCUUCAUUCAAGAGUGAAAAAUUGGAUUGGAACAGAGUUGUGUGGCACCAAUAUUAUCACAAUAAAUGACAAAACAACAAGGAAGUGUAAUAUCGAGAUAAGUGAGAAGAUAAAAAAUGAAAUUAAGUUUAGCAACAAUAUUGGUAACAGAUCAAUACUCCGUCUCAGUAGAAGACCUAGCCACAAUAUGUUGCUUUUUAGAACUCCAAGAUAUUGGAUUUUUACCCAAAUAAACAACAUGAGUAUUGGUGGAGCAAAAAAUAUCAUUGUCCCCAGCUCAGUCAGCGUCAGAGAAAGCAUAUAAAUUUAUAGAGGAGUCAUGACAGAUUUGCAAGCCAUCAUUAAUGGUGCCAACAAGAUAACAUAGCAAAGGCAAUGUCUAGUAAUGUUAUUAGCGAAUAUUGGAGACUCCCAACUACCUGGCAAUACUUAGUGGGAUCAGAUAGAGAGGUACCUGAGUUUAACAUGAGAGAAGGACUUAUUGGUAGGGGAGUAAGAAAAAUCUUUGCAUCUUGCAUCUUUCUUUUAUUGAGGAGAUCUUUUACAUAAUUUCGUUGUGAGAGUAACAAUCCAUGUUUGUUUGGGACAACUUCUACAUCUAGAAAGUAAGUUAGGAAUUUGAGAUCUUUGAUGGAAAACUGCUGAGCAAGGAUCACAAUAAAUUGAUUAAUGUUUGUAGCAUUGUCUCCUGUGAGAAUUAAAUCAUCAAUAUAAACAAGUAGGUACAUAGUGUGUCCAUCAACUUGAAAGAUAAGAGUGAAGGUCAGUAUAUGAGUUUUGAAAGCCAAGCUAUAGAAGAAAUGUUCGAAGCUCAUGAUACCAUGUUCGAAGAGCUUAUUUCAGUUUGUAAAUUGCUUUUCUAAGUUUGUAGACUGAUUAGUACUUAAAAGUAUAUUUUUAUCAAGGUUUUAUAUCAUUAUUUUGCACUUGAAGUAUCAAUAACUCCUUAACAAAAGCAUGUUUUAUAAUAACAUAUCUAAUAAUAUAAGAUACCUUUAAUUUAUGGUAAAUGUUCAUCUUAAAUGCAGGCCUAUCACAUAAAUGAAAGGAUUGAUUGAUGAGUUUAAGUACUGAAAUUGAAAGGACAAAGAGAGGGCCAAACUUAGAAAAGAUAUGCUGGUUCAGGCUAAACUGGAACACUAUUUGGUAAUUGGGUCAUAUCUGGAGCUGUAGAUCUAGGAUUUAGGUUUGCUUUAUAUGGAUGGAAAGAUAAGACAUAUGCCUAAAACUUUCAUGUGGAGUCUAAGAUUUAAAAAGGUCAUUUUCAAGUCCAAAUUAUAGCAACAGCGAAGAAGUAUGAAUUUGUCCUGCAUCUCAGAUACUAUUCAGUGUUCAACCCAUAUCUCGAGUUCUAGAAGUCCAAAUAAUCUCAAUUUUUUUUUUGUUGAAAAGCUGAGAUAAUUUUCUAAUACUUUCAUGAAUCAAGUCUAUUCAAAUUCUGAUGUUAGCAAUGACGUUUUGUUCAGACAAGAAUAUAAAGAUUGUUACCAAGUCAAGAUGUGGCCACCCACUCUACAAUUAGUCAACAAAUCAAUAGUUCUAAAUUUUAGCCUAUAAAAAAAGGCAUUUGCCAAGCAUUUAGGCAUCUUGGUUGUUCAGAUCAAGAUCAUGCUUUUUAUUUCUUUCUUUAUAUUUUUGUAAUGUUUAAGUUUUAUUUCAUGUUAUAUUUUCCUUAAUAUCUUAUUUAUGCUUUUCAUUUCCUUUACUAUACUUAUGUUCUCAUGUUAUUUAUUUCUGUUUCUCUUCUUCAUUAUGUUUAGCUAAUUUUAUUAUGUCAAAGUGAAAAAGGUUUCACUAAUGGUGUUAGAAUAUGUAUAAUAUAAACUCAACAUGGACUUCAAUGUUUAUAUCCAAGAAAGUUUGUUAUUAACAUGUCUUAUCUUUUUAUCUUACUAAUUCUUAAUACCUUGUUUGUUAAGUGGUUAAUCUAGAUUUGUGUUGUAUAACACUUGGUACAACAAAUGCUUGACACUUUCAUAGCCAACUGUAUGGUAUAUAACCUACACUUGUGCUAUUAAAUGAACUUGAUUUGUUGUUAAUAUAAGUUAGCAUCAUGAAUUCCUGACAAUAUUUAAAAGUUUGGUGUUAUUUAAAUAAGAUAAUUAAUAUGAUCAUGUUAAAAAUUUAUAAUGAACUAUUAAGGAUAAAUCAUUUGAUUGGAAUCUCUUUUGUGUGGUUUCUGGUUGAUUAAUAAAAAGAGUUUAUACUAUACUUAUUUCUAAUACUAUUAGUGGAUCCUCUAAAAUUGAAUUUUUUUUUUAUCAUUGUUUAAUCCUUACAUCAAUAUCCCAUAAAAUUCGCAUACACUCUUUGUUUUAUUAAAUAUAUAUAUAUAUUGUUUGUAAUUUAUAUAGUUCACCUCUCUGUGGUUCGACCCUAGUCUUGCCGAGUUAUUUAUUACUUCAACACUCCUGUAUUUGAGAUAAUACAUCAAUCUUUUGGUCGUGUCACAAUUCUUGUGAGAGUGGUUGAGGGACAAGGCUUUGAGCUAUUGAUUGAGCCUAAAAUAUCAUAGUCAAUAAAAAGGGUUUGAAACUGCAACUUUCAAGAGAUGUAGUUGCUGGAAUUGAGUUUGAGAGGGGUUUGGGCAGCAAUAUUAAUGCUGAUAAGGGUGUUAUAAAAGUCAUUAGUGUUGAGAAUGGAGGUUAAAGGACUGGCCAGGGGUGUUAUAAGAGUCAUUAGUGUUGAGAAUGGAGGUUAAGGGAUUGGCCAUGGCUGCUCGAGGGAAAAAAAAUAUUGGAAAUUCGUUAUCUCUUAGUUAUGCUUUGAUACCAUAAAAACAUAACAGAACUGAUGCAUUUCUUAUUAACCAAAACCAAUGUAUAAAUACACCACGGGUAUGACAGAGAAGUAAUGAAGAUCCUACAAACUAGAAGGUUGUUACUAACUGAAUCCUACAUUUGAAUAUACAAUUUGUUAUGGAUAAGUUAAAAUCUGAUUCUCUCUAAUAUGUUCGCCCCUGCUCGUAUUAAUGAUCGGAUUAAAAUAUUUUUAAAUAUAAAAAACAAAAUAUAUAAGUAUUGUUAAUGUUUUUUAACGGUAUUUUUAAUGAAAUAAUAAAAAAGUAAGAUAACCAAAGAAAAAUACUACUACAAUCAUAGUUAAUUUACUUGUGCCCUGUCGUGGUAAGAUGAAAAGUUAUUUUCAAUAGCAAAAAAUAAAAUAAACUUUGCAGGCACUAUUAAUAUUUUAAUGAGUUUCAAUCAAUACUAAAGAUCCGAUUGGUUGAGCUCUUCUAUAGCCUGAGUUUUAAAUUAAAAUAGGUUGGAAUUGACCUAUCUAUAACCUAGUCAACUAAACAAUUCAAAACGUGACCCAAACGAACCAACAAAAAUCUAAAAAAAAGUUGACUUGAUUAAAAAAUAUAUGAUAGAGGCUGCGGUUUAUACCCAAAAAAACAUGAAAAAAAAGAAAAAAAUAACUUUUGUGAGUAACAUUUAUACACAAUUAUACCUAACAUUAAUCUUAAUUUUUACUGUAUUUUCAAAUAUAUUUUUUCUGGUUACAGUUGUUUUUUAAAAUAUUUUUUAUGUUGAAAUAUAUCAAAAUGAUAUUUUUUUAUUAUUUAAAAAUUAGUUUUAAGAUCAGCACAUCAAAACGAUUCAAAAUAUAUAAAAAAUUUAAAAUUUUUAUAAAAAAAAUUAAAUAUUUUUAAAAACAUGGUUUGCAUUCCUAAACGUUAAGCGCAAUAUGAUAAAGAGCCAUUGCCAUCUUUGGCCCGAAACCAAUUUCUUAGACGCCAUGGUAUAUAUAAAGAAAUGAGACCCUUUCAUUCUAGUUAAUUUCACAUAAAAACUAUUUGCAACUUUUGAAUUAAUUCAAUUAAAAAGUUUUAAUAAAAAUUUUUAUGUGAAGAUUCUAAAUGAAAUUUAAUAUCUAAAAAUAAUACAAAAAUAAAGUAGAGACACUAAUUAAAAAAACUAAUGUUAUAACUCGUUUUAUUUCUUUAAAUAUUUAUCUAUUUAUUUUUUAAAGAUAUUUAAAAGAAACAAGAUAAAAGUAAGGAGGAUAAUAUAUAAGAAAAAAUAAAUUGUAUUUUAUCUUUUUAAAAUAUAUAAACUCAAUUUAUUUAUCAAUUAAAUUUAAAUUAAAUAUUAUAAUUAAAUUUAAUUACAAUAAAAAAUUGAUUUAAAAGUAUUAAUCUAGAAUCUUGCUAUUCCAAUACACUUUAAUAUUUUUUUUUGUCAUUCUUUCUCAAAUUAUUAUCCCUUUUCUCAUCUUUCACGGAUAAAACUAUUUUUUUUUAGCAUGAAUUUGUUUAUUUUUGUGUUUUAAAAAUUUAAAUUUUAUUUUAUUUUAAAUUAUUUUUUUAGAAUUUUCAAAUUAUUUUAAUGUAGUGAUGUUAAAAAUAAAUUUUUUUAAAAUAAAAAAAAUAUUAUUUUAAUAUAUUUUUUAAAAAAACACUUUAAAAAAUUACUCAUAUUUUUAAAUACCUAAAAUAUGCUACAAGGAAAAAAAAUGUUUAACUACUUUUUCAUUGCUAACGUUAUGGCCUACGUUUUUUUUUUUGUUUUUUUUUUUAUUAAACCUCUGAUGCCGUCCUUGUUAUAAUGAAAUAUUUCUGCUCAUACAGUAAUAAUUUAUAAUAAAACAUUAAAUUUUAUUUUCAAGUUUCAAAAGAUUCAAACGUUAUUAUCAGAACUCAUGAGAAAAUAAACUACAACGGAUAUAUUUUUUAAACAAGACAAUAUGAGAACAAUGCAUAAUCUCCAAUGUCAAGUAAAUCUUAACUAUGGAAGAGUAUGCUUUCCAGUAUGAUAAUAAUUGUUUUUCAAAUAACUUUUCGUGUAGAAAUACAUGUUAAUGAUAUUUUUUUAUUUUUUAAAAAUUAUUUUUGACAUCAGUACUUCAAAACAAUUCAAAAAAUAUAAACUACACUCAAUUUUAACAAAAAAGGUUUUUUUAAAUUUUAAAAAACGCAAGUUGAACUGAGUUUCAAAAUGUAGUCGAAAAGUCUCACAAAAUCUAAAGAAACUGUAUUGAAACUUGCUUUGAGUUCCGUACCAAUAAAAUAUCAAGAUUUGAAAUACAAUACAUGCAAUUAGAGGGACGUGACUGGGUGCCGUGGCUGCUGGUAGCAUGUUGUUUUUCGUCACCUACUCCUCCUUCGUCCUUCUUGGAGGCUCCACAAUUGUCAAAAGUUUUUUUUUUUGGUUUUUGUUUUUAUUAUUAUUAUAUGUAUUUGUUCAGCUUAUUGAUUAAUUUUUUAAAUUUUAAAACUAAUAAUUAGAUAAUAUUAUAAUAAUUUUAAAAUUUAUAGCACUUGAAUUAGUAAUUCUUGAAAAUAAAUUUAACAUUUAAUUAGUCAAACUACAUCUUUUUAAUAAUUUUAAAAUUUAUAAUAUUUGAACCAGUGUUAUUAAAUCUGGCUGAUCUGAGGGUGGCACCGAUUCGGGUCAGUGCAACGACCCCGUCAAACCGUGACCCGGACAAGACAUGAUGUUUUUUUAUUUAUAAAUAUGAGAUUUGAAACCCAUUACUAUAUAUACUCUAUGUUCCCAAGAAAAGAAUUAUGUUUUUUCAAUGUGAGAUAAAAAUCUUUUUGAUUUAAAUACUUCAACUUAAAAAGAUAAUAUAGUAUCUUUUUAAUGUAAGAUUUGAAACCCAUUAAUAUAUAUAUUCUAUAUUCCCAAGAAAAAAAGUUAUUUUUUUUAAUGUAGGAUUGAAAACCCAUUAGUAUAUAUACUCUAUGUUCACAAGAAAAAAACUAUGUUUUGUCAAUGUUGGAUAAUAAAUUUUUUUGAUUUAAAUACUUUAACUUAAAAGCUUAAUAUAAUAUCUUUUUAAUGCGGGAUAAACUUUUUUUUAAAAUAUUCUUUUAAACUUCAUUAUUUAUAAUAUAUAUAGUUUAUAUUUAUAUGAAUUUUUUUUUAAUUUUUUUAUAUAAAAUAUUAAAAAUUUAUUUUUUUAAUUUUUCUGAGUUAAUUCUAAUUAAUCUUAGUCCAUCCAUAAAAUCAGGACCGGCAUUUUAACCAGGUACCAGUAAUUUGUUGAAAAUAAAUUUAAAAUUUUACCAUUACAGCAUGGAUGAGCCUGAUCUUGUAUUCAUUUCGUCAUUGCUCAGGUCAUCAACGGCUAUAUAAACCCAACCCAGACCAUUUUGUAUUUAGACACGAUUCUGUCCCAAAUCACCGCUCUUUUGCACCUUUAAAAAUAGGCCACGCACGCGCACCUCUAACUGUCACUCUUAUGGCUUCUGCUGCGUAAGAAGCCGCAGCUUGCUUUCUCUCAAUUCUUCAACUUGUGUUUUGCUGUUUGAUUGAUCUCUCUCUGUUUUUUGUUUUGUUUUCUGUUUUGGAAGUUUGGAUAAGAGCGUACCAGAGAAAUUGCCCCCAUCAUUGGAUGCGACUGCAGAGCAACCUCCACUAUUUGAUGGAACUACCAAGUUUGUUUUUUUUUUUUUCUUUUUCUGUUGCUGUGAUUGACAGUAGUAAGAACUUUGUUUCUAAAUUAGUUGUUGUUUUUGUUGUGUCUAAGGUUGUAUACAAGCUACACUUGUCCAUUUGCCCAUAGAUAGAAAAUGGAGAUUCUUGUAUUUCUGAAUAAUAUGUAUUCUGAUCUUAUUAUCACUGUAUAUACGUAUGCAUGUAUAUAUAGUUACAGAAUUUGUAACUGCCAUGACAACUGUCAUGACAGUUGUUAUAACUGAAUGAGAAUCAGUUAUAUUUGUUAUGAAUAAGUUGCUAACUGAUUCUGUUACAAGGAGCUAAUACUGUUACAAUAAUUAACAGCCACAGUAAAUCUAUCAUUUACUUAAUCUAGCCUUCUUCCAUUACUGACGUGAUGACGUGAUCUAGCCUUCUUCUUUCAUUACUGGUUUAUCAUCCCCCCGCAAGUGAAAGGGUCUUGGGACAAGGCACAACUGUGACUUGAGAAACAAGAAUCGUGAACUUGUAAGAUGCUUAGUAAGGAUAUCGGCAGGCUGAUCUUCAGUAGGAAUGAAUUGUAAUUCGAUUUUCCCUUGCAGAACUUGGUCACGAAUAAAAUGUAGAUCAAUCUCUAUAUGUUUAGUUCGUGCGUGAAAAACUGAAUGUUUUGCCAUAUGAUAGGCACUGAUGUUGUCAUACCAGAGUAUAGGGACAACAGGGGUAGAUAUACAUAAUUCGUGCAUCAAAGCUUGAAGCCAGAUAAUCUCUGCAGUUGCCAAAACAAGCCCCCUGUACUCCGAUUCUGCACUGCUUCGUGAGACCAAUUUUUGCUUGGUAGAGGACCAGGAGAUGAGAUUACCCCCUAGAUAAAUGAGAUAUCCACUGGCACUUCUGCGAUCAUCAGGCUGAGCUGCCCAAUCAGCAUCAGUGAACCCUUCAAUUGUCAGCUGGGGUGAUGAAUUGAGUAGUAAUCCAUCAUGCAGAGUUCCACGUAGAUAACGAAGAAUGUGUUUGACAGAGAGCCAAUGUGCUGAGGUCGGUUGGUGCAUAAACUGACAUGCUUUGUUCACAGAGAAGGCGAUGUCAGGUCGAGUAAUAGUGAGAUAUUGGAGAGCUCCCACUAUACUGCGAUAGACCAAAGGAUCUUCCAUAGGUUCCCCAUCAAAUUUGGAUAAAUUCUGUCCCACAGAACCAGGAGUGUUAACAGGUUUAGUAUCAAACAUAGCUGUUCUGUGCAGUAAGUCAGAGAUGUAUUUGGUUUGGCUGAGAUGCAUAGAAUUGUCAUGGUAGGAGACUUCAAUACCUAGGAAGUAGGUUAGUCUUCCCAAAUCACGCAAAGCAAAUGCAGAAUUCAGUUUCUCAAUAAGUGCAGUGACUUGCAUAUGUGAGCUGCCUGUGACAAGAAUGUCAUCUACAUAGAUGAGCACGAUCAAAGUUGUAGAUUGGCCAAAAGAGAUGAACAUGGAGCUAUCAGUCCUGGAGUUACUGAAUCCCCACUGCAGAAGAGUAGAACUGAGGCGUUGGAACCAAGCUCGUGGAGCUUGUUUCAGGCCAUACAAGGCCUUCUUCAGGCGACAAACUUUGGCAGGAAAUUUGGUGUCCACGUAGCCAGGAGGUUGAGUCAUGUAGACUUGUUCCUCAAGUUCCCCAUUCAAAAACGCAUUGUGGACAUCAAGUUGUCUGACUUCCCAAUGGUAACUGAGAGCAAUGGUGAGAAUGAUGCGGAUGGUUGCAGCCUUGACAACUGGGCUGAAUGUCUCAAAUAGUCAAGGCCAAGUGUUUGAUGAUACCCUUUGGCCACAAGUCUGGCUUUAUACCUGUCAAUACUCCCGUCUGGUUUGUGUUUUAAUUUGUAUACCCACUUGCAACCUAUGAUGUUGAUAUCAGAAGGCUUUGCAACCAGAUCCCAAGUGUGAUUGUGAUGAAGUGCUGCAAUCUCUUGAUCCAUUGCCUUGAUCCAAUGUGGAUCCUUUAGAGCCUGACUCAGUGUAUAUGGUUCUGUUACAGCAGUGAGAUUAAGAAUAACCUUCUUUUUAGUGAUGCCACUCAUUAACCUUGUUUUCAUACGUGAAGGUGGACUAGUUUCAGGGAUGGAAACAUCAGUGGCUGAUGCAGAAGAAGAAGGUGAACUUGAAGAAGUUGCAGGCUCAUUUAAGGAAACAGAACCAGUUGUUGGCUGAAUGGAAUCAAUAUGAGGUAAGGUUGGUGUUACUGUUGGAUUGGGAGGCAUUUCACUAGGUGGAAAUACUAAAACAGGAUCCAAGGUGUUAGAGUGGUUGUCAUCAGGUUGGGAAGGAGAAGCUUGAGUGGUGAGUGGAAACUGUGUUUCAUCAAAUAUCACAUGAGGUGUGAUAUAAAUGCGGCCAGUGCUGUAAUCUAGACACAAAUAACCCUUAUUGCUGUGACUAUAUCCAAUGAAGAUACAUUGAACUGACCGAUAUUGGAGUUUGUGAGUGUUGUAGGGUCGAAUGAAAGGGUAGCACAAGCAGCCAAACACUUUAGAGACCUGUAGUCAGGCAUCUUUUGAAACAGAAUGAGGUAAGGUGAGGCAUUGUUGAGUACCUUACUAGGCAUUCGAUUGAUAAGAAUGUGGCUGAUUGAAAAGCAUAUUGCCAGAACUUCAUAGGCAACGAGGCAUGUGCUAGUAAUGCCAAUCCAGUCUCCACAACAUGUCUAUGUUUCCUUUCUACUCUCCCGUUCUGAGAUGAGUUAUAAGGGCAGGAGAAACGAUGCAAGACACCAGCCUGUCGAAGAAAUGUGAUGAAGGCCUUGAACUCACCUCCAUUGUCAGACUGCACACUUUUUAUAGUAUCAUCAAACUGAUUUUCUACUUGUAGUUUGAAUUGUUGGAACAUUGAGAGGGCUUGAUCCUUUGUAUGCAGUGGAUAAAGCCAUGUGUACCGUGAGAAAUCAUCUAGGAAUAGAAUGAAGUACUUAGCACCAGAAGUAGACUUUUCAUAGGCAGGUCCCCAUAUAUCCAUAUGAAUUAAUUCCAACGGUUUGGAGGCACGAGAAGAGGAGAGACGAGUUGGCAGUCUGUGACUUUUGGCAAGCUGACAGGAGGAACAUAUAGCAGAACAAGCAGCAGUUUUAUUCUUUUCAUAGGAGAUAUUACAACUCUGUAAUAUUUGGGUUACAACUUCAGUUGCAGCAUGGCCUAGUCUGUGGUGCCAUAUGUCUACUUUAUUGUCAGUAGAGUUGGUGAUUGGAGAGUGAAAACCAGAAAACUUUGAUGCCAACGUAUGCCAUCUUCUUAUUCUUCAGUGCUGGAAAUUUGUAAAGUCCAUUCUCAAGUCUGCCUUGUAUUAGUUUCUCCUUCGUACGUAGAUCCUUCACAGUGAAACUAUUAGAUCGAAAUUCAAUCAAGACAUCAUUGUCUGAGCAGAAUUUAGCAACACUAAUCAAGUUUGCUGAGAUGAAUGGAACAUGGAAAAUCUUCUUGAGUUGAAAUGAUCGGGAGUUAGAGACUAGAUGAUGGGAACCAAUGUUGGAGAUAGAUAAGUGCUUACCAUUCCUAACUGUCACCUUAUCUGUUCCUGUAUAUGGAGUAGCAUUGCUUAGAUUUCCAGCCUCUUGAGUCAGGUGAUGGCUUGCUCCAGAAUCAAGAUACCAAUUGUCAUCUGCAAUGUUAUUAGAGGAGGCAACCAUAGCAGGUAUAUUGGUUUGAUUUCUUGUAUUCAUGUUCAUAGAGUUAGUACCAUUAUUGGAAGAAUUUUGAUAGGAAAUGUCGAAUCUGUGAUAACAAACAUGUACUGUGUGACCAAACUUGCCACAUAACUGACAUUGUGGCUUUUCUGGAUUGAAUGAACUACUUCUUCCAUUCUGUGUAUAUCUGCCCCCACGACCACGGCUUCUAUAGUUGUAAUUGUUGGUGUUUGGAGUGAAAUUUGAGUAGCUGUGUCCUCUACUGCCAUUGUAUCUCCUUCCACCACCUCUGUUAUUAGAGGAAGAUGCAUAAUUGACUGUCAUUGCAGAGAUCUGAUCUGCUGAGCUUUGUUGCUCAAGUCGAUUUUCAAAUGCUAGAAGCAUGCUGUGAAUUGCUUCAACUGAGAUUUUAUCAUCUCUAAUAUUGAUGGCUGUGACUACUGCAUUGUAGUCGGAGCCUAGUCCUCCAAGAAGAUUCAUGAUUUGAUCCUGUUCUGAUACAGGUUCUCCAAUGGCUGCCAGGCUAUCUGCAGAUCCUUUCACUUUCAUGAUAUAAUCUAUCAUAGGCAGUGAUCCUUUCUUUGUGGACUGUAACUCAAGCCUUAGUUGCAUUAUUCUGGCUCUUGAAGACGAAGAGAAGGUCUUUUCCAGUGCAUUCCAAGCAGACUGAGAAGUAGUAUGUCCAAUGAUUUGUGCCAUGAUAGCUGGCGUGAGGGAAGAGUAAAUCCAGCUGAGGAUUGUGCGAUCCUGUCUUCUCCAUGCAAUGAACGCAGGAUUGAUUACUCCUGCACUCAACUCCUUUUCUGGACAGGCAGAGGUGCCAUCUAUGAAGUCUUCAAAUCCAUUAGCAAAGACAAUGUUAUCAAUUUGAGAUUUCCACAGGACAUAGUUGGUUCGAUCCAGUUUUACUGGUAAUGUAUGAUUCAGUUGUUGAUAGGAUGCAGUGAGUGCCAUUGUUGUGUUUUGUUCAGGUUCAAGAGAGCCAGAGUUAGAGAAGGAGGAGUGACUUGACGCAGAAGUCAUGGUUGAGUUGAAGAGAGAAAGAGGCUCUGAUACCAAGAUAGAAAAUGGAGAUUCGUGUAUUUCUGAAUAAUAUGUAUUCUGAUCUUAUUAUCACUGUAUAUACGUAUGCAUGUAUAUAUAGUUAUAGAAUUUGUAACUGUCAUGACAACUGUCAUGACAUUUGUUAUAACUGAAUGAGAAUCAGUUAUAUUUGUUAUGAAUCAGUUGCUAACUGAUUCUGUUACAAGGAGCUAAUACUGUUACAAUAAUUAACAGCCACAGUAAAUCUAUCAUUUACUUAAUCUAGCCUUCUUCCAUUACUGACGUGAUGACGUGAUCUAGCCUUCUUUUUUCAUUACUGGUUUAUCAUCGAGUUUGGAUCACCAGGAAUUUCAAGGUCUCUUAUCAAUCCUUUCUGUUCUUUGCUGUCACUUUACUUUACUUUACUUUUUUUUUUUAUUAUUAUUUUUUCUUCUUGAUGGGUGCAGGGAUUACAGGACGAGAUUAAGCUAGUCCCUCUAAUCCUUCAAAAUAGGCCUGCUUGGUAUUCAGAGAAAGUUUACCCUCCAAACAAGGUCAAUACUUCCUUUUCUUUAUGCUUCAUUAAUGCGUCCUUUUAUUGUUAUCCGUCACUCAUACCGUAUUUUUCAAGAAAUGAUACACUAUUCUUUCAUUUUUCUUUCUAUUUUUGUAGACAAUAUUGCAGUAGGUCACCAAAGAACAAAGGAAAAAAAAAAAAACACUCUGCAAUGCAUCGGUCUAACAAGUUUCCUGUCAAAAACCCACAGAGUAGGGUUUAUAGUUGGGGUAGUAUGAGCUGUAAUAGCAUUGUUUUUGAGGCACUGUCGAUUCUGCUUUGUUCUCGUAUGGCUCUAGUGAAGUUGUUUAUGAUGGCUCUCGUAAAAUAUUGUGGUCAUAAAGCUGAUGAAUUAUAGAAUUUAGCCUGAUACUUACUGAAUUAUUGGCCGUUACAUCAAUUUUUCACUGAAAGUUCCUGGAGUAUAGUUCUGAUUUUUGGAGUUAGUACUAAUUUGAUAGCUAGUUGUAUCAAGUGCGUACGGUCGCUGUUUAACCUAUGAAUUAUUUAUCAUUUCUUGGUUGAUUACAAAACCAUUUUUGUUCAUAGGUUCCAUCACUGGAACACAAUGGCAAAAUCACCGGGGAGAGUCUUGAUUUGAUUAAGUAUUUAGAAAGCAACUUUCAAGGACCUUCCCUUCUCUCUGUGGUAAGAUGCGUAUGAUUCUCCUGCACUCUUGAUGUGAACUCCCAAUCAAAUUGAAAAAAUUAACAAAGUAAGUUACUGUAGGAUCCUGCUAAGAAAGAGUUCGCUGAAGAGUUGUUCUCCUACACUGAUACAUUCACCCGUACAGUGUUUACUUCAUUCAAGGGAGACCCGGCGAAGGAAACUGGUAGCUUCAGAUUUUCCUCUCUUUCUAUGUGUGGUGUUUAAUAUAUAAACUGGACUAACUAUAAUUAGUAACUUGCAUCAGGUCCUGUUUUUGAUCAUCUAGAAAAUGCUCUGCAUAAAUUUGGUGAUGGACCAUUCUUCCUUGGUCAAGAAUUCAGUUUGGUAUGUUUUCAGUUAAUACCACGAGCACCUUAGCCUGUUCUGUUUGUUGAAUUUUUCACCGUAUAUAUAUGUUUUCAGAAAUAUGUAUGGUGAAUCAUUUGCCUUUGCACAUUAUUUGAAUGUGUUAUGUUUAUAUGUAUGUUUAAAAACCAUUUGUUCUCAGGUGGACAUAGCCUAUAUCCCAUUCGUUGAAAGAUUCUGCAUCUUCCUGUCAGAAGUGUUUAAGUAUGAUAUUACUGCUGGCAGACCAAAACUGGCAGCUUGGAUUAAGGUAAUUUGGAACCCAUUUUUUCUUCAUCUGCCCCCGUGUUCCAUGCUCUUUCACUUUGUUCCUCCCGGAUUUACCUGGUUCUGUACUCUUUAUCUUUUUCAUCGUUUGGUUUAAAGCAAUUUACAGGAUCUUCCAUCUUGCAUGACUUAGAUCAUGUCUGGUUAUUGUGUUGGCCUCUUCUCUAGUGUCUAAUAAUUAAGCUUAUGAUGAGCAAUCAUUUGCUGUUACGCAACUGAACAUUUGAGCUGAAUUUCCUAGUGCUCCUUAUCUUGAACCAGUAUUAAAAAAGAGGCUGAGCUUCUUUUUGGGCUAGGGAUUUUGGUUUUGGAUGGUAACUUGUCCUUUUAUAAAUCCAAACGCAGGAGGUGAACAAGAUUGAGGCUUACAAGCAGACAAAACCUGAUCCAAAAGAGUUCGUUGAAGUUUACAAGAAGCGCUUUAUGGUAAAGAGUCAAAACCAUCCUGAUAUGCUUAUAAUUCAUGGAAGUUGUGGUGAAGUAACUGAUCACCUCUUUAUGUUGCUUCGCAGGCUUAGAAUGAAAAUGCCACUACACCGAACAAGGGCCUUGAUGUCUCUUAGCUGAAUAACGGUUGUGUUUGUAGGGUUAAGUUGCUAUAUAUAUAUAUAUAUAUAUAUAUAUAUAAUGGUUGAUGUUUCAUGGUUGGUCUCCACGGUUGUCUACUUAUAGCUCUGGUAAAAAUAAUGAAGAAUAAGCCUCUAUUUCAUGUCUCGCUCAGCGUGUUCGCUAGAUUUCCAGGAUGGUAUUACUUUAGCACCUGUUUUUAGGCUGGAUUCUGUAGUACUUUUACUCCAAGCUCUUUGCAUGGUGUUUAACGAAAUGCUUGGCAUGUAGUAUGAAUAUAAAAGCUCCUGGUACUUUUGUGAUAUUGUUGCUCGCCGGAAUUUGUUGCU